rnacentral:tRNA from 1 species
GGGGAUGUAGCUCAGUAGGGUAGAGCACUUGCCUCACACGUAUGAGGCACAGGGUUUGAUCCUCAGCACCA